UACGUAGGGAGCUAGCGUUGUCUGGAAUCAUUGGGCGUAAAGCGCGCGUAGGCGGCCCGGUAAGUCCGCUGUGAAAGUCAAAGGCUCAACCUUUGAAUGUCAGCGGAUACUGCCGGGCUAGAGUCCGGAAGAGGCGAGUGGAACUCCUGGUGUAGCGGUGGAAUGCGCAGAUAUCAGGAAGAACACCAACGGCGAAGGCAGCUCGCUGGGACGGAACUGACGCUGAGACGCGAAAGCGUGGGGAGCGAACAGG
rnacentral:rRNA from 1 species